AUGGGCGCAAGCCUGAUCCAGCCAUGCCGCGUGAGUGAUGAAGGCCUUAGGGUCGUAAAGCUCUUUCGCCAGAGAUGAUAAUGACAGUAUCUGGUAAAGAAACCCCGGCUAACUCCGUGCCAGCAGCCGCGGUAAUACGGAGGGGGUUAGCGUUGUUCGGAAUUACUGGGCGUAAAGCGUACGUAGGCGGAUUAGUCAGUCAGAGGUGAAAUCCCAGGGCUCAACCCUGGAACUGCCUUUGAUACUGCUAGUCUUGAGUUCGAGAGAGGUGAGUGGAAUUCCAAGUGUAGAGGUGAAAUUCGUAGAUAUUUGGAGGAACACCAGUGGCGAAGGCGGCUCACUGGCUCGAUACUGACGCUGAGGUACGAAAGUGUGGGGAGCAAACAGGAUUAGAUACCCUGGUAGUCCACACCGUAAACGAUGAAUGCCAGUCGUCGGGCAGUAUACUGUUCGGUGACACACCUAACGGAUUAAGCAUUCCGCCUGGGGAGUACGGUCGCAAGAUUAAAACUCA
rnacentral:rRNA from 1 species